UACGUAGGCAGCAAGCGUUGUUCGGAGUUACUGGGCGUAAAGGGUGCGUAGGCGGUUGUUUAAGUUUGGUGUGAAAUCUCCCGGCUCAACUGGGAGGGUGCGCCGAAUACUGAAUGACUAGAGUGCGGGAGAGGAGAGUGGAAUUCCUGGUGUAGCGGUGAAGUGCGUAGAUAUCAGGAGGAACACCGGUGGUGUAGACGGCUCUCUGGACCGUAACUGACGCUGAGGCACGAAAGCGUGGGUAGCAAACAGG
rnacentral:rRNA from 1 species